rnacentral:rRNA from 1 species
UACAGAGGUCUCAAGCGUUGUUCGGAUUUAUUGGGCGUAAAGGGCGCGUAGGCGGCGGGGUAAGUCGGGUGUGAAAUCUCAGGGCUCAACCCUGAAACUGCACUUGAUACUGCUCUGCUUGAGGACUGGAGAGGAGACUGGAAUUCACGGUGUAGCAGUGAAAUGCGUAGAUAUCGUGAGGAAGACCAGUGGCGAAGGCGGGUCUCUGGACAGUUCCUGACGCUGAGGGCGCGAAGGCCAGGGGAGCAAAGCGGG